rnacentral:pre_miRNA from 1 species
ACAACAUUCGGACCGUCAGUCUAGCGAGCAUUUUCACCCCCUCGGUGGAAGAUAUUCUGUUCAUAGU